rnacentral:rRNA from 1 species
GAGUCCUGGCUUAGGACGAACGCUGGCGGCGUGCUUCAUACAUGCAAGUCGAACGAGAAUCUGGCUUCGGUCAGAGGAAAGUGGCGGACGGGUGAGUAAUGUGUAGAGAAUCUGCCCUUUAUGGGGGACAACAGUUGGAAACGACUGCUAAUACCCCAUAUGCGCGUAGCUGAGAUGCUAUUCGUGAAAACUCCGGUGCUAAAGGAUGAGUCUGCAUCUGAUUAGCUAGUUGGCGGUGUAAUGGACCACCAAGGCGACGAUCAGUAGCUGGUUUGAGAGGAUGAUCAGCCACAAUGGGACUGAGACACGGCCCAUACUCCUACGGGAGGCAGCAGUAGGGAAUUUUGCGCAAUGGGGGAAACCCUGACGCAAGCAACGCCGCGUGAUUGAAUAAGCCCUUCGGGGUGUAAAGAUCUGUCAGUAGGGACGAAACUUGACGGUACCUACAGAGGAAGCAUCGGCUAACUCCGUGCCAGCAGCCGC